UACGUAGGGGGCAAGCGUUGUCCGGAUUUAUUGGGCGUAAAGAGCGUGUAGGCGGCCAGGUAGGUCUGCUGUGAAAACUCGAGGCUUAACCUCGAGAUGUCGGCGGAAACCAUCUGACUAGAGUCCGGAAGAGGAGAGUGGAAUUCCUGGUGUAGCGGUGAAAUGCGCAGAUAUCAGGAAGAACACCCGUGGCUAAGGCGGCUCUCUAGUACGGUACUGACGCUGAGACGCGAAAGCGUGGGGAGCGAACAGG
rnacentral:rRNA from 1 species